rnacentral:rRNA from 1 species
AUUUAAAGAAAGCGUAAUAGCUCACUGGUCGAGUCGGCCUGCGCGGAAGAUGUAACGGGGCUAAACCAUGCACCGAAGCUGCGGCAGCGACACUGUGUGUUGUUGGGUAGGGGAGCGUUCUGUAAGCCUGCGAAGGUGGCCUGUGAGGGUUGCUGGAGGUAUCAGAAGUGCGAAUGCUGACAUAAGUAACGAUAAAGCGGGUGAAAAGCCCGCUCGCCGGAAGACCAAGGGUUCCUGUCCAACGUUAAUCGGGGCAGGGUGAGUCGACCCCUAAGGCGAGGCCGAAAGGCGUAGUCGAUGGGAAACGGGUUAAUAUUCCCGUACUUGGUGUUACUGCGAAGGGGGGACGGAGAAGGCUAUGUUGGCCGGGCGACGGUUGUCCCGGUUUAAGCGUGUAGGUGUGUGUUCCAGGUAAAUCCGGUUCACUUUAACACUGAGGCGUGACGACGAGGCACUACGGUGCUGAAGCAACAAAUGCCCUGCUUCCAGGAAAAGCCUCUAAGCAUCAGGUAACAUCAAAUCGUACCCCAAACCGACACAGGUGGUCAGGUAGAGAAUACCAAGGCGCUUGAGAGAACUCGGGUGAAGGAACUAGGCAAAAUGGUGCCGUAA